AGAGAAUCACUUGAACCCAGGAGGCAGAGGUUGUGGUGAGCUGAGAUCACGCCGUUGCACUCCAGCCUGGGCAACAAGA
rnacentral:snRNA from 1 species